GAGUUACUACAAUGCUAACAAGUCCAACUUGAAGUUAUACGUCAGACGUGUCUUCAUCUCAGAUGGAUUCGAUGAUCUUCUGCCCAAGUACCUGAACUUUUUGAUGGGAAACACAUUAGGAAGUUGGUUAAAGAUGGAUUCAUCAGCUGCAAACCAAACCACAUUCACUCUCCAUAUCAUGCACGGAGAAUGACAAAAGCCAGAUUGAGGGGUUUUCACUCUGGAUAUGGUUCAGUUAGUGAUUGAGAAUUUAGAGCAAUUGUUCCUGAAACAAUAAAAAUGAGCGGCUUGUUGUCAAUGAUGAUCGAGGUGAUAAGUUAAUGCUACUGCGAGCAAAUCCAGAUGCCCC